CGGUAAGAACGUUAUGGUCGUAGUUAGGUCGUAAAAACGUCGCUGUGAGAUCGAAGCGCAAUCUCUCCGAAUAGAAUCAUGCUUUCGCUACGCUCUCACUAUGAUAGUACAGCGACCUUUGCGAUCUUACUACGAUAUAAGUACACUCUCACAACGCUUCUACUAAGACCUGAUUUCGCCACAACCGCACCACUAGUGUUUGGAACAUGUUCAAAGUUGGCCACGCUCAUCACAAUCUUGAAGACCUCACCACGAACAUGAUACGACCUUACUGCGAUCUACACGAUCGUACUACGAUU
rnacentral:lncRNA from 1 species